GGAUUCUGAAACAUUUUCUUGACUGCAGUGUCAUCUGCAAAGCAGUCUACAUUAAUAGCUUUUACGUGGACAAGCCUGUCUAAACUCCCAUGUAGGCCGCUGGAGAAACAGUAGUUCUUACAUUUACGCACGUAGCUGAGGUCCAUUUCAGAGAUGCCGGUACCUUAGUUCAUUAGUUAACCUCUCCUCGAAUUAUACUGACCACUUGCAAUUGUUGGAAUUUACGCAUGCCUUCUAAAUUACCCUGUUCAAACUCAAACUCCAGUGUAACAGUGUAGUAGGUGGUCUCACUCGAAACGGUUAGCAGAAGGCUGCUUUUGACCUACAAAGUGAUUCCGAUUCCAGAAAAGACUUGCAAAACCAGGGAAUUCUUCCUCCUGUUUUCUGUUUCUGCUGUGGGGAAUGGGGACGGGUCACCAAGCCACAGUUUGAAGGAGAUUUUUAUUUUCCCAGGACUAGGGCUGACAGGCUCUCUCUUGAUUGGCCCUUAUUCUAUGCCUCAUUUGCAAGAAGCAUACUCAGCCAAUCAGAGCCUACUUGAAUCUACCUAAAUCCUUGGGGGCUUAGCCUAGUCACCAGUUUGGUUCCUGGUUUCUGGCUGCUGUCUUCUGGCAAAGCACUUCGGACUUCGGAAUCAGCCUCUUUGGACCAUCAGAGGGAAGACUGCUCCUGCCUUUGAGAUCUGUCAGAGGCUGGCCACUGGAGACCUUCUGAGUACCUUUCAUUUUCAGCACUGUCCCGAGCUGAAUCAUAUGUUGUUCUGCUAUUUAUUUGCAACUCAUGGGAUGUUGGAGAACACUGGACAGCAGCUGAAGAUGGAAUUUACAUAUGGGAGCUCUGUCGGGGAGACUCAAACCAUCUCCUUGCUCACUCUGUCUGGUCUUGGAAGAAACAGGGAAUAGGUAUAUUGAACUUUUUCCAGGUUCAUCUGUGCACUCACACAGUGCCUUGGGAAAAUCUAAGUUAUAUUGUCAGAAGCCACGUAACCAUAGAAAGUCACAGGCUUCCUUUACAAAAAACAAUCUGCUGUGCUGAAAUGGAAUAUUCUAAUAACAUGGGAUCAUUUUUGUUAGCUCCAGAGUACACUGCAAUCUCUGCAAGAGACGAACCUAGCCGGUAAGAGCACCUAGGGGAAGAAGCCUUUUAAAAGAUAUUGUUGUCUGCAUUGCUCUUCAUUUUGGCAAUAAAGGAGUUAACACAGAGAGAUUGAUUCUUAAUGACAGUCCUGAGUGUUGUGUGGUGGUUGCCUGGCAACUGUACCUGUAGGAACUAAAUAUUGGACAUGUAUCUGUAUUAAUCCCCUCUUGUCAAGGUUUGUGGGUGUUUAAUAUAUUAAGCUUGGGAAAUACUUAGAAGCAGAAAAAAGUUUGCUCAUUUGAUGAUCCUUGGAAACCGUGGAAGAUCACUGUGUGUCAACACAUAAGGGUCAGGAGAGUAAGUGAUGUACAGUGCUGUGAAUAGGUCUUGAAUGUAUUUGAGCAUCUCUUAAGUGAGACGGAGCCCAGCCUUGCUGUCCUCACAUCCCUCCUAUUAUCUCUUCCAAGGACGUAUCUCUUCACUUAGCGAGCAUUUAUCGACUAUCUUUAAUGUGCUAGCAUCUGUGGCAGAUACAGCCUGGGGUAUUUACGUGAGAUAAAUGGAGUCCCCAGUCCUUUAGUCUGGAGUGGAGACUAUCAUCAAUGCAGGGUGCACCCAGAGGGAAACAAGUCUCACGCGCCAGCCCUCAGAGCGUGCGCUCUCAGCAGUUCCGGCGCUCCUGUACAGAUUAAACUAAGCUCUGCCUUAUGCCCUGUGCUCAGCCCACUACUCACAGUUCCGCUCCUUCGGAGAGU
rnacentral:sRNA from 1 species